rnacentral:rRNA from 1 species
UGGGGAAUAUUGGACAAUGGGCGAAAGCCUGAUCCAGCCAUGCCGCGUGUGUGAAGAAGGUCUUCGGAUUGUAAAGCACUUUAAGUUGGGAGGAAGGGCAGUAAGCGAAUACCUUGCUGUUUUGACGUUACCGACAGAAUAAGCACCGGCUAACUCUGUGCCAGCAGCCGCGGUAAUACAGAGGGUGCAAGCGUUAAUCGGAAUUACUGGGCGUAAAGCGCGCGUAGGUGGUUCGUUAAGUUGAAUGUGAAAGCCCCGGGCUCAACCUGGGAACUGCAUCCAAAACUGGCGAGCUAGAGUAGGGCAGAGGCUGGUGGAAUUUCCUGUGUAGCGGUGAAAUGCGUAGAUAUAGGAAGGAACACCAGUGGCGAAGGCGACCACCUGGGCUCAUACUGACACUGAGGUGCGAAAGCGUGGGUAGCAAACAGG